rnacentral:tmRNA from 1 species
GGGGGCGAAACGGUCUCGACGGGGGUAUGGGAAGCAGUAGUCGCGUCCGAGGUCUCCACCGGGCCCUCGUUAAAUAGGUGGAAAAACAAUAAGUGCAAAUAACACUGAAUUAGCUCUCGCAGCUUAAUUGCGAACGUCCUUUGGAAAGCCCUGCCGGUGGCGUUUCAAAAGGGCGCAAAUGUUACCGGCUGGCCCGCUGAAUGUCUGAUAACAUCGGGUAAGACAAAAUUAGACUGGUUCAUUUCAAGCCUGUCGCUGGGCGUUUUAUGAACGAGAUCAAAAUAGUGACUAUGACGUAGAAGCUGCUGUGGACUACCUUCGGACGCGGGUUCAACUCCCGCCGCCUCCACCA